rnacentral:rRNA from 1 species
CAUGCAGUCGAACGGACCCUUCGGGGUUAGUGGCGGACGGGUGAGUAACACGUGGGAACGUGCCUUUAGGUUCGGAAUAGCUCCUGGAAACGGGUGGUAAUGCCGAAUGUGCCCUUCGGGGGAAAGAUUUAUCGCCUUUAGAGCGGCCCGCGUCUGAUUAGCUAGUUGGUGAGGUAACGGCUCACCAAGGCGACGAUCAGUAGCUGGUCUGAGAGGAUGACCAGCCACACUGGGACUGAGACACGGCCCAGACUCCUACGGGAGGCAGCAGUGGGGAAUCUUGCGCAAUGGGCGAAAGCCUGACGCAGCCAUGCCGCGUGAAUGAUGAAGGUCUUAGGAUUGUAAAAUUCUUUCACCGGGGACGAUAAUGACGGUACCCGGAGAAGAAGCCCCGGCUAACUUCGUGCCAGCAGCCGCGGUAAUACGAAGGGGGCUAGCGUUGCUCGGAAUUACUGGGCGUAAAGGGCGCGUAGGCGGAUCGUUAAGUCAGAGGUGAAAUCCCAGGGCUCAACCCUGGAACUGCCUUUGAUACUGGCGAUCUUGAGUAUGAGAGAGGUAUGUGGAACUCCGAGUGUAGAGGUGAAAUUCGUAGAUAUUCGGAAGAACACCAGUGGCGAAGGCGACAUACUGGCUCAUUACUGACGCUGAGGCGCGAAAGCGUGGG